UGGGGAAUAUUGCACAAUGGGCGCAAGCCUGAUGCAGCCAUGCCGCGUGUGUGAAGAAGGCCUUCGGGUUGUAAAGCACUUUCAGCGGGGAGGAAGGCGUUAAGGUUAAUAACCUUGGCGAUUGACGUUACCCGCAGAAGAAGCACCGGCUAACUCCGUGCCAGCAGCCGCGGUAAUACGGAGGGUGCAAGCGUUAAUCGGAAUUACUGGGCGUAAAGCGCACGCAGGCGGUCUGUCAAGUCGGAUGUGAAAUCCCCGGGCUCAACCUGGGAACUGCAUUCGAAGCUGGCAGGCUAGAGUCUUGUAGAGGGGGGUAGAAUUCCAGGUGGAGCGGUGAAAUGCGUAGAGAUCUGGAGGAAUACCGGUGGCGAAGGCGGCCCCCUGGACAAAGACUGACGCUCAGGUGCGAAAGCGUGGGGAGCAAACAGG
rnacentral:rRNA from 1 species